AGAGUUUGAUCCUGGCUCAGGACGAACGCUGGCGGCAUGCCUAAUACAUGCAAGUCGAACGCUUUAAUUUCACCGGGUGCUUGCACCCAUCGAAGUUAAGGAGUGGCGGACGGGUGAGUAACACGUGGGUAACCUGCCCAUAAGAGGGGGAUAACAUUCGGAAACGGAUGCUAAUACCGCAUAUUUCUAAUCGUCUCCUGACGAAUGGAAGAAAGGUGGCUUCGGCUACCGCUUAUGGAUGGACCCGCGGCGUAUUAGCUAGUUGGUGAGGUAAUGGCUCACCAAGGCGAUGAUACGUAGCCGACCUGAGAGGGUGAUCGGCCACACUGGAACUGAGACACGGUCCAGACUCCUACGGGAGGCAGCAGUAGGGAAUCUUCCGCAAUGGACGAAAGUCUGACGGAGCAACGCCGCGUGAGUGAUGAAGGUUUUCGGAUCGUAAAACUCUGUUAUUAGGGAAGAACAAAUGUGUAAGUAACUGUGCACAUCUUGACGGUACCUAAUCAGAAAGCCACGGCUAACUACGUGCCAGCAGCCGCGGUAAUACGUAGGUGGCAAGCGUUAUCCGGAAUUAUUGGGCGUAAAGCGCGCGUAGGCGGUUUCUUAAGUCUGAUGUGAAAGCCCACGGCUCAACCGUGGAGGGUCAUUGGAAACUGGGAAACUUGAGUACAGAAGAGGAAGUGGAAUUCCAUGUGUAGCGGUGAAAUGCGCAGAGAUAUGGAGGAACACCAGUGGCGAAGGCGACUUUCUGGUCUGUAACUGACGCUGAUGUGCGAAAGCGUGGGGAUCAAAUAGGAUUAGAUACCCUGGUAGUCCACGCCGUAAACGAUGAGUGCUAAGUGUUAGGGGUUUCCGCCCCUUAGUGCUGCAGCUAACGCAUUAAGCACUCCGCCUGGGGAGUACGACCGCAAGGUUGAAACUCAAAUGAAUUGACGG
rnacentral:rRNA from 1 species